rnacentral:rRNA from 1 species
UGGGGAAUCUUGCACAAUGGGCGAAAGCCUGAUGCAGCAACGCCGCGUGCGGGAAGACAGCCCUAGGGUUGUAAACCGCUUUCAGCAGGGAAGAAACUGACGGUACCUGCAGAAGAAGAUGCGGCCAACUACGUGCCAGCAGCCGCGGUGACACGUAGGCAUCAAGCGUUAUCCGGAUUUAUUGGGCGUAAAGAGCUCGUAGGCGGUCCGUUGCGUCUGCCGUGAAAACCCGGAGCUCAACUCCGGGCCUGCGGUGGAUACGGGCGGACUAGAGUCCGGUAGGGGAGACUGGAAUUCCUGGUGUAGCGGUGGAAUGCGCAGAUAUCAGGAGGAACACCGGUGGCGAAGGCGGGUCUCUGGGCCGGAACUGACGCUGAGGAGCGAAAAGCGUGGGGAGCGAACAGGAUUAGAUACCCUGGUAGUCCACGCCGUAAAACGGUGGGCGCUAGGUGUGGGGGAUCGUUUCCACGAUCUCCGUGCCGUAGCUAACGCAUUAAGCGCCCCGCCUGGGAGUACGGCCGCAAGGCUAAAACUC